GGUGAUUAGUGUCAUAGAGAGGGAGGGGGUGACUAGUGACAGAGUGAGGGAGGGAAGGGGUGACUAGUGACAGAGUGAGGGAGGUGAUGAUUAGUGACAGAGGGAGGGAUGGGGUGACUAGUGACAGUCACCCCCUCCUUCACUCUGUCACUGUGUCACCCCCUCCCUCACUCUGUCACCGUGUCACCCCCUUCCUCACUGUCACUAGUCACCCCUUCCUUCCCUCACUCUGCCACUAGUCACCCCUUCCCUCACUCUGUCACCUGUCACCCCUUCACUCUAGUGACA